CCGUUGCGCAGGCGCAGCUGCCUCAGCACCGUGGGAACCGUUAUUUGAACAGAAGUAUUUAUAAGGGUGCGGGGGGGGGAGGGGGGAUCGCUCUGUUAAUAUCGACCCAUAAUAUCGUGUGGCUUAUGAUAGGUCUGCCAGUCCCUGUAAAUUUAAAUUUCAUAGAAUUGGGAGGGACCCCUAGGGUCAUGUAGUCCAAACCCACUGCAAUGCAGAUAUCUCAGCUGAAGCAUUUAUUUAUUUAUUUAAAUUUCUAGACCACUUUAUAUUUUUAAGAAAAACCUCAAAGCGGUUUACAGCAUAUUAAAUCAAUAAAACAAUCUGAAGAAAGUCAAAUACAGAAUAUACAGUCAAAGCAACAGUCAAAUAUAGAGUAUACAGUCAAAGCAACAUAACAAAAUACUAAAAUAUUACCUUAAAAGAUUUCAAAAUAAAACAUUACAAAGGAGGUCAGCUACAGACAUCCAUGACAGAUGGCCGUCCAACUUCUGCUUAAAAACCUCCGAGGAAGGAGAGUCCACAACCUCCCAUUCCACUGUGGAAGAAGAGUUCUUACCAUCAGAAAGUUCUUCCUGAUAUUUAGUCUGAAUCUCCUUUCUUGAAGCCAUUGGCUAGUCCUACCCUCCAGAGCAGGAGAAAACAAGCUUGUUCCCCUCUUCCAUGGGACAGCCCUAGAGAUAUUUGAAGAUGGCUAUCAUAUCUCCUCUUUUCCAGGCUAAACAUACCCAGCUCCUUCAACUGUUCUUCAUAAGGCUUGGUUUCCAGACCCUCAAUCACCUUUGUUGCCCUCCUCUGCACACGUUCCAGCAGCUUAAAUGUGGGAGAGUGCAGUUUAUGAUUUUCAAACCCACCCCAGUAAAAAACAUGGCGCAGAAUACACCUUUCAGUAGCAUUGCCUUUUCAUACCUUUUGUUUUAAUGCUUAAAAACCACCAACACACCUAAUGCUGCAGUUGGGCUCCCACUUACUUGGUAGUAAACCCCUUCGAACUGAAAGGGAUUUACUUCUCUUUCACAUGAGGCAGGACCCGAAUUAAAAUAUGAAAUCUUAACUAGAUUUGGUGAUACUUUGCUAGAUUAAGGGGACAUCAGCCUGGUCACAGCUACAGUAAGACCUUCCAUUUUUAUAAAACCAGAAUUUGGGUUGGGCAACUGUCAUGUCACGAAUGAUGGAGGGAAUGUCCACAGAAGCCCAUGUUUACUCAAGUUAAUCUCACACCAAUUUCAACACAAGGACAGACUUCAAAUAUGCAUAUUUCUUUUGUUUACAGUACUGUAGUUGCCUGAAAUCAGUGUAAGUCUUGCCUCCCAAAAGUUAUGAACCUAAACCUGCCCAAGAAAGAUGUUAAAUCAUUUUUGUAUGCCACAACUGCAGCUCGUAUUUUGUUAGCUAAAAAGUGGAAAACUCAAAAACUACCAACAGUAGAAGAAUGGCAGAUGAAGAUGGAUUUUUCAGAGCUAGCCAACCUAACCGGAAGAGUCCGCGACCAGAAGGAGGAGGAAUAUCAGGAAGAAUGGAAUAAAUUUAAUGAUUAUUUAGCUAAAUUUGUUAAGUUAAACUAGCCGG